rnacentral:rRNA from 1 species
AUUGAACGCUGGCGGCAGGCCUAACACAUGCAAGUCGAGCGGAUGAAGGGAGCUUGCUCCUGGAUUCAGCGGCGGACGGGUGAGUAAUGCCUAGGAAUCUGCCUGGUAGUGGGGGAUAACGUCCGGAAACGGGCGCUAAUACCGCAUACGUCCUGAGGGAGAAAGUGGGGGAUCUUCGGACCUCACGCUAUCAGAUGAGCCUAGGUCGGAUUAGAUAGUUGGUGGGGUAAAGGCCUACCAAGGCGACGAUCCGUAACUGGUCUGAGAGGAUGAUCAGUCACACUGGAACUGAGACACGUUCCAGACUCCUACGGGAGGCAGCAGUGGGGAAUAUUGGACAAUGGGCGAAAGCCUGAUCCAGCCAUGCCGCGUGUGUGAAGAAGGUCUUCGGAUUGUAAAGCACUUUAAGUUGGGAGGAAGGGCAGUAAGUUAAUACCUUGCUGUUUUGACGUUACCAACAGAAUAAGCACCGGCUAACUUCGUG